UACGGAGGGUGCAAGCGUUAAUCGGAAUUACUGGGCGUAAAGCGCACGCAGGUGGCUGAGUCAGUCGAUUGUGAAAGCCCUGGGCUUAACCUGGGAAUUGCAGUCGAGACUGCGUAGCUAGGGUGCGGAAGAGGGAAGCGGAAUUUCCGGUGUAGCGGUGAAAUGCGUAGAUAUCGGAAGGAACACCAGUGGCGAAAGCGGCUUCCUGGUCCAACACCGACGUUCAGGCACGAAAGCGUGGGGAGCAAACAGG
rnacentral:rRNA from 1 species